AAAGAUGGAAAAGCGGGAGAACAGAAAUAAAAGGAGGGCAGAAGAUGGAAAGAUGUCAUCAGAGAAGGAGAGAAGAAGAAGACGAAGCGACCAUGGAUGGUUGAAAGUUAAUAUUUGGCCUGGACUUUGACCAAGAGAGAAGAGGUGAACAUGCAGAGGAGGGAUGUUGGAGGAUCAGUCCAACAGCAACAGGAAGCUUCACAAGCAAGACAGGUGGGACAAGCAAGACAGACUGGGAAACAUCAGGAGACAUGACAGGACACACACACACACACACACACACACACAUACAGGAGUUCAAUAAGACUGCCCCGCCCUUUUCUAAAUACUUAAAAUAUUUUACUCUUCCUAUUAUCUACUGUUUUAUGUAGUUGCAUUCUAGAGUUAUGUUUUAUGCAUGUUGUGUGUAUGUUUGCAUGUAUAUAUGCGUUAUUCUUAUUAUUAGUAGUAGUAUUGGUAUUUGUAUCAGUAUUAUUAGUCUUAUUAUCAGUAGAACUAGUAGUAGGGAUAGAAGUAUUGGUGAAAAUACUGAGUACUACUAUUGCUACUACUACUAAAUUGUUUGCAUUGUAUUGGUUUGGUUUGAUUUUAAUUUAUUAGCUUUACUACUAAGACUUUGUAUCGUGCAGAUUUAUUAGUAUUAAAAACUAUUAACAAGA